UACUGUGUUCAGUCUGUUGUAUCAGUCUUCUCCUUACCUCUGUAGGAAUGCAGAAGACUGCAAAGCAAUAGCAGUGCAUAGUGAAAAAACACCUGUGGUGUGAACUGGCCCCUAAGGAUAGCUGUAGCUGUUCCUGCCUGUUUUUCAUCAUCUUGACUCUCACAACAUACAAGAACAGAAUGGAGCCCUGGCAGGAAGCCUGUUUAUGAAAAUAGAUAGCAGUAGUGUCUCCUCUAGCGCAGAGCUGAGGUGACACUGUCUUAAGAAUAUGUAAUAA